AUUUAAAUAGCUUAUAUUUAGAGCAUAACAUUGAAGUUGUUAGGGAGGUAGAUUACCUUUAAAUA
rnacentral:tRNA from 1 species